rnacentral:rRNA from 1 species
ACUCGAGUGGCGAACGGGUGAGUAACACGUGGGUGAUCUGCCCUUGACUUUGGGAUAACUUCAGGAAACUGGGGCUAAUACCGGAUAGGAGCUCCUGCUGCAUGGUGGGGGUUGGAAAGUUUCGGCGGUUGGGGAUGGACUCGCGGCUUAUCAGCUUGUUGGUGGGGUAGUGGCUUACCAAGGCUUUGACGGGUAGCCGGCCUGAGAGGGUGACCGGCCACAUUGGGACUGAGAUACGGCCCAG